rnacentral:lncRNA from 1 species
GCUGUGUUUCGAUUAAGGCUCCGUUUGGGCUAGGUUUAAAUUCUGAUUUUGGGCUAAAACAGUCCAAUUUUUUAGGGCUAUUUGGGCGGAUAUUUUUUUAUAACGGAUUUUUAUGGUCUGUUUGGGGUAAAAAAAUUCAAAUCACUUCAAAUCUCAAAAAACCAAGAAAUUGUUGACCAAAAAAACAACAUAAUUUUUAAUCAAUGCACUAGACAGUCUCCACUUCCACAACAGAACUUCCCUCACCCUCAAAGCUGCAUGCAAAAGCACUUCCACGGCAACGACGCUCCCAAUCGUUAGAAUUUGAAAUAUUGAACAAAUUAACAAAAAAAUAACCUCAUUAAGGUCUAAAGAUAUAUCCUUUUAGCGUAUGCCCUAGAAUUCAAAAUCGUCGUCACUAAAAAAAUUGCAGAGAAUUGACAUGAAGGUAAAAGAUGGUACCGAAAAUAUGCCCUAGAAUUCAAAAUCGUCGUCACUAAAAAAAUUGCAGAGAAUUGACAUGAAGGUAAAAGAUGGUACCGAAAAUAUGCAUUGUGCUUUACCUAUGACGAAGGAAAACCGAAGAAAAGUAGCCAUAAACAAAAAAUUUAAUUCCCUCAUGGACGUGUUUUGUUU